GGGACUUGAGAGCGGCGUACGGGUGCGUAACACGUGUGCAACCUGCCUCUAUCUGGGGGAUAGCCUUCCGAAAGGAAGAUUAAUACCCCAUAAUAUAAUGAUUGGCAUCAAUUAUUAUUGAAAACUCCGGUGGAUAGAGAUGGGCACGCGCAAGAUUAGAUAGUUGGUGGGGUAACGGCCCACCAAGUCGAUGAUCUUUAGGGGUCCUGAGAGGGAGAUCCCCCACACUGGUACUGAGACACGGACCAGACUCCUACGGGAGGCAGCAGUGAGGAAUAUUGGACAAUGGGUGGAAGCCUGAUCCAGCCAUCCCGCGUGAAGGACGACGGCCCUAUGGGUUGUAAACUUCUUUUGUACAGGGAUAAACCUCCCCUCGUGAGGGGAGCUGAAGGUACUGUACGAAUAAGCACCGGCUAACUCCGUGCCAGCAGCCGCGGUAAUACGGAGGGUGCAAGCGUUAUCCGGAUUUAUUGGGUUUAAAGGGUCCGUAGGCGGGCCCGUAAGUCAGUGGUGAAAUCUCGCAGCUUAACUGCGAAACUGCCAUUGAUACUGCGGGUCUUGAGUGAAUUUGAAGUGGCUGGAAUAAGUAGUGUAGCGGUGAAAUGCAUAGAUAUUACUUAGAACACCGAUUGCGAAGGCAGGUCACUAAGAUUCAACUGACGCUGAGGGACGAAAGCGUGGGGAGCGAACAGGAUUAGAUACCCUGGUAGUCCACGCCGUAAACGAUGCUAACUCGUUUUCGGGCCGCAAGGCUCGGAGACCAAGCGAAAGUGAUAAGUUAGCCACCUGGGGAGUACGUCCGCAAGGAU
rnacentral:rRNA from 1 species